GAUGAACGCUAGCGGCAGGCCUAAUACAUGCAAGUCGAACGAGAUUAAGAGGCUUGCUUCUUAUGAAAGUGGCGCACGGGUGCGUAACGCGUAUGCAACCUACCUUAAUCAGGGGGAUAGCCCGAAGAAAUUCGGAUUAAGACCGCAUAAAAACACAGGAUAGCAUUAUCCAAUGUUCAAAUAUUUAUAGGAUUAAGAUGGGCAUGCGUGUCAUUAGCUAGUUGGCGGGGUAACGGCCCACCAAGGCGACGAUGACUAGGGGAUCUGAGAGGAUGACCCCCCACACUGGUACUGAGACACGGACCAGACUCCUACGGGAGGCAGCAGUAAGGAAUAUUGGUCAAUGGAGGGAACUCUGAACCAGCCAUGCCGCGUGCAGGAAGACAGCCCUCUGGGUCGUAAACUGCUUUUAUUCGGGAAUAAACCUUUCUACGUGUAGGAAGCUGAAUGUACCGAAGGAAUAAGGAUCGGCUAACUCCGUGCCAGCAGCCGCGGUAAUACGGAGGAUCCAAGCGUUAUCCGGAUUUAUUGGGUUUAAAGGGUGCGUAGGCGGCUUAUUAAGUCAGGGGUGAAAGACGGUGGCUCAACCAUCGCAGUGCC
rnacentral:rRNA from 1 species